rnacentral:lncRNA from 15 species
GUUAGGAACAAGUGUUUAAUCUGUUUCUAAUAUCUCUAAUACUGAUUUUUUUUUUUUUAUUGUGUUUAUUAUUAAGGUCAUGUUUUAAAUCAUUUCAUUACACCCACCUGCACAUCAUUGGUAGCCUGACCACUGUGGCCACACAUGGAGGUACUGUAAGACAACUUAAGACUGGAGAAAGAGGAGGAAGAACACCUGACGACUGGAAUGGAAAUUAAAGCAGGAAACAACUAACGUGUCUUCCACAAAGACCAUUAAAUGCAUCAGUACGCAGACCC